rnacentral:misc_RNA from 1 species
UAGAAUGAAUCUAGAGUUGGUUGUUGCUGGCCUCUCUUCCUGAGGCAUGUGCACACCUUCUCUUUCAUCCACACACACCUGUGCACUUGUGAGAUGGAGGGCUGGAUUUUCCUUCCAUCUACUAUUACACAAACUCAACUGAAUGUAAUUGAUGUAACACAUCUAAUAC